GCACUACUGAAGAGUCCCACAAUAAGACGAAACCGGCUGUCCAGUGC
rnacentral:hammerhead_ribozyme from 1 species